GACGAACGCUGGCGGCGUGCCUAAUACAUGCAAGUUGAGCGCUGAAGGUUGGUACUUGUACCAACUGGAUGAGCAGCGAACGGGUGAGUAACGCGUGGGGAAUCUGCCUUUGAGCGGGGGACAACAUUUGGAAACGAAUGCUAAUACCGCAUAAAAACUUUAAACACAAGUUUUAAGUUUGAAAGAUGCAAUUGCAUCACUCAAAGAUGAUCCCGCGUUGUAUUAGCUAGUUGGUGAGGUAAAGGCUCACCAAGGCGAAGAUACAUAGCCGACCUGAGAGGGUGAUCGGCCAAAAUGGGACUGAAGCACGGCCCAAACUCGUACGGGAGGCAGCAGUAGGGAAUCUUCGGCAAUGGACGAAAGUCUGACCGAGGAACGCCGCGUGAGUGAAGAAGGGUUUCGGAUCGUAAAACUCGGUUGAUAGAGAAGAACGUUAGUGAGAGUGGAAAGCUCAUCAAGUGACGGUAACUACCCAGAAAGGGACGGCUAACUACGUG
rnacentral:rRNA from 1 species